rnacentral:snRNA from 1 species
GUGCUGACUUUGGCAGCACAUAUACUAAAAUUGGAAUGAUACAGAGAAGAUUAGCAUGGCCCCUGCGCAAGGAUGACACAAAAAUUCAUGAAGCAUUCCAUAUUUUU